GUCAAAAUUGAGAGCAGGUGGAGUGUCCAUGAUGGGCCCAGCACUGCCUACGAUGCCAAGUGUCUGGCUGACAAGCAUGGAAGUGCAAGAGUCCAAACAGCAUGAAAGCAGAGUCAGGACUCCCACCCCCUCAGCUCACAGGAGACACAGAGGUCGUGCGUAGCCUGCAACGGACCAGCGACCCGGCCGGAAAUCCAUGAAGAAGCGGUGCUCCCUGAUGACCACUCCUCAAUACGCUAACCCCGCGAGACAGCAGCCUCUGCGGGCAGCCAACGCUGGCGGAUGUUUAGAUGGGCAAGGCCCUCUUUUCAACUCUGCAUUCUUUCCGACCUUCCCCAGAGGACGGCUAACCAGGCUGCUUGAAACCCGGCGCUUCGGAGAUAUUUUCUCAUUAAACAACGGCCUUACUCUGA